rnacentral:rRNA from 1 species
GAUGAACGCUGGCGGCGUACCUAAAAACAUGCAAGUCGUACACUUGUAAAAGUGUGGCGAACGGGUGAGUAACGCGUAGGAAUCUGCCCCAAUCCGGGAAAUACCCAGCCGAAAGGUUAGGCUAAUGUCCCAUGUGCUCGCAAGAGUAAAGCUCCGGCGGAUUGGGAAGAGCCUGCGUCCUAUCAGCUUGUUGGUGAGGUAAAGGCUUACCAAGGCUAUGACGGGUAGCUGGUCUGAGAGGAUGAUCAGCCACAAUGGGACUGAGACACGGCCCAUACACCUACGGGUGGCAGCAGUUGGGAAUCGUACGCAAUGGACGAAAGUCUGACGUCGUGACGCCGCGUGGAGGAUUAAGGCCCUCGGGGUUGUAAACUCCUUUUCUACAGGAAGAUUAUGACUGUACUGUAGGAAUAAGGACCUGCUAACUACGUG